GGAUUAGAUACCCUGGUAGUCCACGCCGUAAACGAUGAUCACUAGACGUUAGUUCUGCUCUGCAGGAUUAGUGUCGUAGCUAACGCGUUAAGUGAUCCGCCUGGGGACUACGGUCGCAAGAUUAAAACUUAAAGAAAUUGACGGGGGCCCGCACAAGCGGUGGAACAUGUGGUUUAAUUCGACACUACGCGAGAAACCUUACCUAGGCUUGACAUGUUUUUGACAGUCGUAGAAAUACGAUCUUCUUAGCGAAAGCUAAGACAAUUUCACAGGUGCUGCAUGGCUGUCGUCAGCUCGUGUUG
rnacentral:rRNA from 1 species